UACAGAGGUCCCAAGCGUUGUUCGGAUUUACUGGGCGUAAGGGGUGCGUAGGUGGCGGGGUAAGUCUGGUGUGAAAGCUCCGAGCUCAACUCGGAAAAGCAUUGGAAACUAUCCCGCUGGAGGGUCGGAGGGGAGACUGGAAUUCUCGGUGUAGCAGUGAAAUGCGUAGAUAUCGAGAGGAACACCAGUGGCGAAGGCGAGUCUCUGGACGACUCCUGACACUGAGGCACGAAAGCUAGGGGAGCAAACAGG
rnacentral:rRNA from 1 species